AUUGAACGCUGGCGGCAUGCUUUACACAUGCAAGUCGAACGGUAACAGGGUGCUUGCACCGCUGACGAGUGGCGAACGGGUGAGUAAUGCGUCGGAACGUGCCGAGUAGUGGGGGAUAACGCAGCGAAAGUUGUGCUAAUACCGCAUACGUACUGAGGUAGAAAGUGGGGGACCUUCGGGCCUCACGCUAUUCGAGCGGCCGACGUCUGAUUAGCUAGUAGGUGAGGUAAAGGCUCACCUAGGCGACGAUCAGUAGCGGGUCUGAGAGGAUGCUCCGCCAAACUGGGACUGAGAAACGGCCCAGACUCCUACGGGAGGCAGCAGUGGGGAAUAUUGGACAAUGGGGGGAACCCUGAUCCAGCCAUGCCGCGUGUGUGAAGAAGGCCUUAUGGUUGUAAAGCACUUUAAGCGAGGAGGAGGCUACUCUAGUUAAUACCUAGGGAUAGUGGACGUUACUCGCAGAAUAAGCACCGGCUAACUCUGUGCCAGCCGCCGCCGUAA
rnacentral:rRNA from 1 species